rnacentral:rRNA from 1 species
GAUGAACGCUGGCGGCGUGCCUAAUACAUGCAAGUCGAGCGAACAGACGAGGAGCUUACUCCUCUGACGUUAGCGGCGGACGGGUGAGUAACACGUGGAUAACCUACCUAUAAGACUGGGAUAACUUCGGGAAACCGGAGCUAAUACCGGAUAACAUGUUGAACCGCAUGGUUCAACAGUGAAAGACGGUCUUGCUGUCACUUAUAGAUGGAUCCGCGUCGCAUUAGCUAGUUGGUAAGGUAACGGCUUACCAAGGCAACGAUGCGUAGCCGACCUGAGAGGGUGAUCGGCCACACUGGAACUGAGACACGGUCCAGACUCCUACGGGAGGCAGCAGUAGGGAAUCUUCCGCAAUGGGCGAAAGCCUGACGGAGCAACGCCGCGUGAGUGAAGAAGGUCUUCGGAUCGUAAAACUCUGUUAUUAGGGAAGAACAAAUGUGUAAGUAACUAUGCACGUCUUGACGGUACCUAAUCAGAGAGCCACGGCUAACUACGUG